GUAAAAGUAUAAAGGCAAAAGGGGGAACACUGAAAAGCAUAAAGGGGAUAGGGAGCCAACAAGUGGAAAAGAGAACAUGAAAGGAAGAGCCAUUCAGCAGGAAGACCACCUCAGUCAGGUACAAAACUCUUGGAGAGUUGGAGUCUUAGGAGAUUGCAAUAAGAUGAGGAACUGACAAAAACCAGCCCAUUUUCCACUCAGACUUGAGUGCCAGUAGCAUGUGGUCUGUGUGCAGUGAUGGAGAGGGAUGUCAUAUGGCACAGGUUAUACCAGUGACAAAAAAAAAAAAUAAUAAAAAAAAUGGCAACCAAGUCCGAAGGAGCUGGCUAGAUUAGAUAACUGAGACCCCUGGGAGCACACAGCAGAUUUAAAAUCGCCAGGGUUAAGGAUGAGGAAAUGCAAAGGGAUGAGUGUUCAUUUGUUCUAUCUAUGCCAGGGGAGAGGGCAAAAACAAAGGCAGAGAAA